rnacentral:rRNA from 1 species
UACGGGGGGGUAAGCGUUGUUCGGAAUUACUGGGCGUAAAGGGCGCGUAGGCGGCCCGUCAAGUCCCGUGUGAAAGCCCCCGGCUCAACCGGGGAACUGCACGGGAAACUAGCAGGCUUGAGUUCGGGAGAGGGAAGCGGAGUUUCGGGUGUAGCGGUGAAAUGCGCAGAUAUCCGAAGGAACACCGGUGGCGAAGGCGGCUUCCUGGACCGACACUGACGCUGAGGCGCGAAAGCUAGGGGAGCAAACGGG